AACUCUUGCAGUGGAUCACUUGGCUCGUGCUUUGAUGAAGAACACAGCUAGCUGCAAGAAUUAAUGUGAAUUGCAGGACACAUUGAUCAUCGACACUUUGAAUGCACUUGUGGCCCCAGGUUCCUCCCAGGGCUUUAAGAAAAA
rnacentral:rRNA from 1 species